rnacentral:rRNA from 1 species
UCGACGUGAUAGAUGUGUGUGGUGCCAGCCUCUCGCCUGAAGGCGCUCAGUUGGAUAUCUCUCAAAACCUGGUGGCUAAUACACGAUCAAGAGGUCAGCCAUGCAAUGGCUUGUGUGCAAAGGAGAAGGCGUCCCAACACCCAAUGUGGUGGACUGCAACCAGCUGGUGAGCAAGACCGGUGCCCAGCAAUGGGCAGCGUUGGCCAUGUGUUGAACCAAGCUGGAUCCCAAUGGCGGAUCAUCGAAGGCAAGGGACAGUCAGCUCUGGCGUAUGGUCUCUGCCUGGGCUUCGGUCCAGGCAAGAUCAAUCCUACCGUGUGUUUGGGCUCAGCCCUCACUCAGCUUGAUCAUGCGAACUUCUGACCUAUCAGCUCUGUGGUGAUGUAUUGGAUCACUGUGGCCUCGACGGGUAACGGAGAAUGAGGGUCUGAUUCCGGAGAGGGAGCCUCAGAGACGGCUACCACUGCUACGGUGGGCAGCAGGCACGCAAAUUGCCCCAUGAAAGAACAUGUCCAUUGAGGCAGCAACGAACUGCAGCAACUGUGCAUGACCUCACCGGUCGGUACAGCUUGGAAUGGAUGCAACCCAAACACAGUGAUGAGUAGCCACUGGAGAGCAAGUCUGGUGCCAGCAGUCGCGGUAAUUCCAGCUCCAAGUGUGUAUGCUGUCAUUGCUGCUGUUAAAACGCUCGUAGUCAGACCAUGGGAUGCAGGACCAUUCAGUGUUGUGGGCCCGAUUGCCAGGUCUGACAGGUGAGGCUGAAACCUCAUCGGGGCUUGGCAUUGGAUCACCCACAGCUGAGCGGACCACGUUUUUGCAGGGGGCGUUUCCUGCUCCCACUGCUCAAGCUCCUUCUUGGUCUUCUGACCUUGACAGAAGCUUGGAUGGCAUGAUGUGCUCUUGCUGUAAGUAUCCUCUACUGGACCCUGAGGCGGUAUUGCUCCCAACCCUAGCCAUUGGCACGGAACUUGGAUCCAGGCCCUGUGCCUUGGAAGACCAGAUCCAUUCUGCCAGCCAUCGGAGUCUGCCAUCGUUGUCACCCUGGUGAAAGCAGUGUGCUCCAAGCAUCCAACCGAAGUUCCCUCGGGAACCCUCAGUCAUGGCUGAAUGUGCAACCAGUGAAUGCCAAUCAAACGACCACGUGAGGCAAUGCUUGUGCUGGUCUUGAGGCCCAUGUCUGGGCAAUGUGGCAGGGGGAACCAUUCAAAGUCUACCCGAGAAUGGAUUUCUGCCGAGCUACUCGAUCUCGGAUGGGAGGCAGCCCGACGGGGUGAAGGGGACCUUAGUGUCAGAGGUGAAAUUCUUAGACCGCCAUGAGACCAGCUGAGGCGUAGGCUCUUCGACCAACUAGCCUGCCUCUCUCGAUCAAGAACGGCAGUUUGGGGAGCCAAGAUGAUCAGACACCGUCGUAGUCCAGUGCCGUAAACGGUACCACCCGAGUCCUGUAGUUGAUGCGCGCCUCCCAUGGCUUCAGGAGUCACCCCCUGACCGAGAGAAAUCCCAAGCGGGUUCAGGGGGGAGUACCGCCGCAAGGCAGAAACUUAAAGGAAUUGACGGAGUGGCACCACAAGGCGUGGAGUAUGCGGCUUAAUUUGACUCAACGCGGGGAAUGUUACCAGGCCAGGACAUGGCAAGGAUGGACAGAUUGAGAGCUCUUUCUUGAUCCCGUGGACGGUGGUGCAUGGCCGCUACUGAUUGGUGGAGUGAUUUGUCUGGCUGAUCCCGAUAACGAGUGAGAUCUCUGCUUCUGACUAGACUCUGGCUCGCAUCUGUAGGGCGGUUCCAGAGAACAGCACUGAAGUGGCCCUGCCUUCGGGUGGGAUCCUCCACCCAGUGGCUGGCUGGUUCCCCCGAGAGCCAACAAGGAAGUCUUCUCUGAGGUGCUGCUUUACCGACAAGAAGGCUGAGCAUGCGAGAGGCAACAGCAGGUCUGUGAUGCUCCCAGAUGUUCUGGGCCGCACGCGCACGACACUGAUUCGGUGAAGGAGCCAACAAGAAGGCAAGGGUUCUCCCACUGCCCCGUGGCCUGAAGAGGCUGGGAAACCUUGCAAGCCUGAGACGUGAUGGGGAUAGAUGAUUGCAACUGUGUCUCUUGAACGAGGAAUGCCUAGUAUGCCCAGGUCAUCA